rnacentral:rRNA from 1 species
UGGUGGCGACCGGCGCACGGGUGAGUAACGCGUAUGCAACCCAUCUAUGAGAGGGGAAUAACCCGGCGAAAGUCGGACUAAUAUCCGCAUAAAACAGGGACACCGCAUGGUGAUAUUUGUUAAAGAAAUUCGCUGAUAGAUGGGCAUGCGUUCCAUUAGGUAGUUGGUGAGGUAACGGCUCACCAAGCCGACGAUGGAUAGGGGAACUGAGAGGUUGGUCCCCCACACUGGUACUGAGACACGGACCAGACUCCUACGGGAGGCAGCAGUGAGGAAUAUUGGUCAAUGGGCGAGAGCCUGAACCAGCCAAGUCGCGUGAAGGAAGAAGGAUCUAUGGUUCGUAAACUUCUUUUGCAGGGGAAUAAAGUGCAGGACGUGUCCUGUUUUGUAUGUACCCUGAGAAUAAGGAUCGGCUAACUCCGUGCCAGCAGCCGCGGUAAUACGGAGGAUCCGAGCGUUAUCCGGAUUUAUUGGGUUUAAAGGGUGCGUAGGUGGUUUGAUAAGUCAGCGGUGAAAGUUUGCAGCUUAACUGUAAAAAUGCCGUUGAAACUGUCGGACUUGAGUGUAAAUGAGGUAGGCGGAAUGCGUGGUGUAGCGGUGAAAUGCUUAGAUAUCACGAAGAACUCCGAUUG